rnacentral:lncRNA from 1 species
UUCAAAAUAAAUAAUUACCUUUAAAGUCCCUACACUUAACCAUUUUCAACCAAGCAAGUCACCAAAUAUAACCACUUUUAAAACAAAAAACCACCUUUAAAUUCUCUAUACUUAAUCAUUUUCAACCUACCAAGUCACCUUUAAAGUCACUACACUUAAUAAUUUUCAACCUACAAAGUCACCAUGCAUAACCACUUUAAAAAUAAUAAAUCACCUUUAAAGUC